GAUGAAGAACGUAGCGAAAUGCGAUACUUGGUGUGAAUUGCAGAAUCCCGUGAACCAUCGAGUCUUUGAACGCAAGUUGCGCCCGAAGCCACUAGGCCGAGGGCACUCCUGCCUGGGCGUCACACGUCGUUGCCCCCCCCCAUCUACUCCUUCGGGAUUGCGGGGGGCGGAUGAUGGCCUCCCGUGCGCCUAGCCGCGCGGCUGGCAUAAAUACCAAGUCCUCGGCGACGCACGCCACGACAAUCGGUGGUUGCGAAACCUCGGUUGCCCGUCGUGUGCGUUCGUCGCGCAUCGAGGGCUCGAAAAAAUGCUCGGCUCCGGCUCGGCUUUCAAUGCGACCCCAGGUCAGGCGGGGUUACCCGCUGAAUUUAAGCAUAUCAAUAAGCGGAGGA
rnacentral:misc_RNA from 1 species